UACAGAGGGUGCAAGCGUUGUUCGGAAUUAUUGGGCGUAAAGGGAGUGUAGGCGGCCAUUUAAGUCUUCUGUGAAAUUUACGGGCUCAACCUGUAACGUGCAGAGGAUACUGAGUGGCUUGAGUGUCGGAGAGGAUAGUGGAAUUCCCGGUGUAGAGGUGAAAUUCGUAGAGAUCGGGAGGAACACCAGUGGCGAAGGCGACUGUCUGGCUGACAACUGACGCUGAGACUCGAAAGCAUGGGGAGCAAACAGG
rnacentral:rRNA from 1 species